rnacentral:rRNA from 1 species
AGAGUUUGAUCAUGGCUCAGAUUGAACGCUGGCGGAAUGCUUUACACAUGCAAGUCGAACGGCAGCACGGACUUCGGUCUGGUGGCGAGUGGCGAACGGGUGAGUAAUAUAUCGGAACGUAUCCAAUAAUGGGGGAUAACUAACCGAAAGGUUAGCUAAUACCGCAUACGCCCUACGGGGGAAAGCAGGGGAUCUUCGGACCUUGCGUUAAUGGAGCGGCCGAUAUCUGAUUAGCUAGUUGGUGAGGUAAGAGCUCACCAAGGCGACGAUCAGUAGCUGGUCUGAGAGGACGACCAGCCACACUGGAACUGAGACACGGUCCAGACUCCUACGGGAGGCAGCAGUGGGGAAUUUUGGACAAUGGGCGCAAGCCUGAUCCAGCAAUGCCGCGUGAGUGAUGAAGGCCUUCGGGUUGUAAAGCUCUUUCGUCCGCGACGAUGAUGACGGUAGCGGAAGAAGAAGCCCCGGCUAACUUCGUGCCAGCAGCCGCGGUAAUACGA